rnacentral:SRP_RNA from 1 species
GGAGAGGGCGGCCUGGAGUUACUGAACCCGUCAGGUCUGGAAGGAAGCAGCGGAAGUAAUCUCGGGGGCCGGCCCUCAAAACC